rnacentral:rRNA from 1 species
GACGAACGCUGGCGGCGUGCUUAACACAUGCAAGUCGAACGGAAAGGCCCUGCUUUUGUGGGGUGCUCGAGUGGCGAACGGGUGAGUAACACGUGAGUAACCUGCCCUUGACUUUGGGAUAACUUCAGGAAACUGGGGCUAAUACCGGAUAGGAUCUCCUGCUGCAGGGUGGGGGUUGGAAAGUUUCGGCGGUUGGGGAUGGACUCGCGGCUUAUCAGCUUGUUGGUGGGGUAGUGGCUUACCAAGGCUUUGACGGGUAGCCGGCCUGAGAGGGUGACCGGCCACAUUGGGACUGAGAUACGGCCCAGACUCCUACGGGAGGCAGCAGUGGGGAAUAUUGCACAAUGGGCGGAAGCCUGAUGCAGCAACGCCGCGUGCGGGAUGACGGCCUUCGGGUUGUAAACCGCUUUCGCCUGUGACGAAGCGUGAGUGACGGUAAUGGGUAAAGAAGCACCGGCUAACUACGUG